rnacentral:rRNA from 1 species
GACGAACGCUGGCGGCGUGCCUAAUACAUGCAAGUUGAGCGCUGAAGGUUGGUACUUGUACCAACUGGAUGAGCAGCGAACGGGUGAGUAACGCGUAGGGAAUCUGCCUUUGAGCGGGGGACAACAUUUGGAAACGAAUGCUAAUACCGCAUAAAAACUUUAAACACAAGUUUUAAGUUUGAAGGAUGCAAUUGCAUCACUCAAAGAUGAUCCCGCGUUGUAUUAGCUAGUUGGUGAGGUAAAGGCUCACCAAGGCGAUGAUACAUAGCCGACCUGAGAGGGUGAUCGGCCACAUUGGGACUGAGACACGGCCCAAACUCCUACGGGAGGCAGCAGUAGGGAAUCUUCGGCAAUGGACGAAAGUCUGACCGAGCAACGCCGCGUGAGUGAAGAAGGUUUUCGGAUCGUAAAACUCUGUUGGUAGAGAAGAACGUUGGUGAGAGUGGAAAGCUCAUCAAGUGACGGUAACUACCCAGAAAGGGACGGCUAACUACGUG